rnacentral:rRNA from 1 species
CUACGGGAUGCAGCAGUGGGGAAUAUUGGACAAUGGGCGCAAGCCUGAUCCAGCAAUGCCGCGUGAGUGAAGACGGCCUUAGGGUUGUAAAACUCUUUCGCUAGGGAAGAUAAUGACUGUACCUAGUAAAGAAGUCCCGGCUAACUCCGUGCCAGCAGCCGCGGUAAUACGGAGGGGACUAGCGUUGUUCGGAAUUACUGGGCGUAACGAGUUCGUAGGCGGACUGACAAGUUAGAGGUGAAAUCCCAGGGCUCAACCCUGGAACUGCCUUUAAAACUGUCAGUCUAGAGACCGGAAGAGGUUAGUGGAAUACCUAGUGUAGAGGUGAAAUUCGUAGAUAUUAGGUGGAACACCAGUGGCGAAGGCGCCUAACUGGUCCGGUACUGACGCUGAGGAACGAAAGCGUGGGGAGCAAACAGGAUUAGAUACCCCGGUAGUC